rnacentral:rRNA from 1 species
UACGUAGGGUGCAAGCGUUAAUCGGAAUUACUGGGCGUAAAGCGUGCGCAGGCGGCUUUGCAAGACAGAUGUGAAAUCCCCGGGCUUAACCUGGGAACUGCAUUUGUGACUGCAUGGCUAGAGUGCGGCAGAGGGGGAUGGAAUUCCGCGUGUAGCAGUGAAAUGCGUAGAUAUGCGGAGGAACACCGAUGGCGAAGGCAGCCCCCUGGGCUAACACUGACGCUCAGGCACGAAAGCGUGGGGAGCAAACAGG